ensembl:lncRNA
AGACAGUAGUCACAGCGUAGUGUACCAUAUUAAGGCAUUGUUUAGUUACUAUUUAUGAAGAUACAGUUGAAAUAGGGCCACCUGGCCAUUACAUAGCUUGCUGUACCACAAGAAGUUCACACAGCUCCUGCAUAGAUCAACAAGCAUGCCAUAUAGCUUAGGAAAGGUCAUGCUCAUGUUCUGUUCCUGUGCUCCUAAGGCAAAAUUAAACUCUGAGUAUUUAUGAAGAGAAAAAACUCAUUUAAUUUGACGUAUAAUGUGCUGUAGAGAACACUGCAAUAACCACAGCAGCUCCUGGUGGUAAGAUCAGGACAGGCUUGUUUUCUGAACAUCCUACAUUUUUAUUCUUUAUUCUAAACUAAAUCUCUUGCAUUUACAUGACUGAAGUCAAGCUGAAAUUCAUAUUCUGAAAUAAACUCUCUGUGUAUGUUCUCAGUGAGCCUGACAGGAACUUGUAUCUGUGAAGACUGUGAGGUGUUUUUGUCUCUGAAUGAUAUACAGUGGGAGGUGUGAAAGUCUUUGGAUCAGGCACAAGACUUUAUGUGGAAGCUGCUGCUCCAGUGGGACCUAAGCUGUCAGCGUACUCAGUUCUCAAACCAAACAAUGGAAAGGGCAUACUGAUGUGUCAGGCCAGAGACAUGGUUCCAAACCUGGUGAGGUUCACAUGGAAGGAUCAAAGUGACACAGAGCUGACGCUGUCAGAGACAUAUGACCUACUGGAGCAGAAAGACGAUGAGGAGGCCAGAGUGACCAGCAUGCUCAUCAUAGACCAACAGAAAGCAAGUUCUACUUCUUACACCUGCUCUGUCCAACAUGAGGAUAAGCACGAUAAAAUCAAAAUCACAGCAGAACCUUUGAAGGGCUCUGAUUCUGACCCUGUCCAACCCUGCCCGCCCCAACAAGGUUCGUUGGAGCUGGUGCACAGACUGUAUCUGUUCAAUCUCAUGUACGUGUCUCUGCUGGUGAAGAACGUGCUGUAUUUCUGUGCUGUGGGGAUCUUACUGUACAAGAGUAGAGUUGAGAACAACAAAACUUUCAGCAAAACCAGUCCAACAUCAAACCAGGACAAAUGAAGAGUUUCAGAUUGUCACAUAUAUUUCCUUUUUUUAUUGUUUUUCUUAUUUCACUUGCUAGACAGAGAGUUAAUUCUGUUAAUAACAUACUUCAACCAUCUCUUAUACAUUUACACACACCUGCAAUUUACCUUUGAUUGCAUUUAUCAUGUUUUAACUUGCUACUUUUAAAAUAUCACUUAUCAUACAGGAAUAGUUUUGCAUUGUUUUAGGAAAGUGUUAAUGUCUGAUACUGCAGUUUAAAGCAGUCUAAAUAAGUCUAAUAAUUUCUUAUUGGUAUCUGUAAUAAAGUGUCUGUUGGAUUUUUUUUCUUAUUUUUUUUUAUUGGACUUAAAAUAAAUCAAAUAAAACUCUUAUUUCAGC